UAGGGAAUCUUCGGCAAUGGGGGGAACCCUGACCGAGCAACGCCGCGUGAGUGAAGAAGGUUUUUCGGAUCGUAAAGCUCUGUUGUUAAGGAAGAACGAGUGUGAGAAUGGAAAGUUUCAUACUGUGACGGUACUUAACCAGAAAGGGACGGCUAACUACGUGCCAGCAGCCGCGGUAAUACGUAGGUCCCGAGCGUUGUCCGGAUUUAUUGGGCGUAAAGCGAGCGCAGGCGGUUAGAUAAGUCUGAAGUUAAAGGCAGUGGCUCAACCAUUGUAGGCUUUGGAAACUGUUUAACUUGAGUGCAGAAGGGGAGAGUGGAAUUCCAUGUGUAGCGGUGAAAUGCGUAGAUAUAUGGAGGAACACCGGUGGCGAAAGCGGCUCUCUGGUCUGUAACUGACGCUGAGGCUCGAAAGCGUGGGGAGCGAACAGGAUUAGAUACCCUGGUAGUCCACGCCGUAAACGAUGAGUGCUAGGUGUUAGGUCCUUUCCGGGACUUAGUGCCACAGCUAACGCAUUAAGCACUCCGCCUGGGGAGUACGACCGCAAGGUUG
rnacentral:rRNA from 1 species